AUGUACCACAUGAGAAAGAAGCUUUUGCUGCUGCUGCUCUUGCAAAGGCGGCGGGAGCGCAGAAAGCGUCUGCGGCCUCUGCGGCGACGUUGGUGGGUCCGGCCAGUCUUUCAACUGCGUAAAGAAGAAGGACUUUACGGCUAUGCAACGGAUACGUCAGGAUGACCACGGAUUUUUCUACAAUUUCUUUCGCAAGGCGCCGCAGCUCUUGGGCAAGCUAGUGAGCUUUUUAGCAGAGGACCUCACACGGCAGCACCACAUUCGAGAAACCCCUGGAGCCUGGAGAACGACUUGCUGUAGCAUUGAGAAGCAAUGCUUCCUAACGUAUCCAGCCUACGACUGCCUGCUGAAGCCAGCGAUGCUUCUGACUGCGGACUGCUGUGGUGUGCCUCAGAAUCCUCAGGAACCAGAACUUCUUGAAACAUCGCUGAUUCAAGAGAUUCCAAAAUGUCCUGAGACUCCACAGACUCAUGCGACGCCGAAGACAGAGUCGAUGCUGGCGCUUGUGACUCUUCACUUGACGGUGAUGGCACUUCAAGUGUUGCCAGAUCGGAAAACUGGUACAUUUUUUGUUAAGAUGUCUGCAGCACUUCCC